rnacentral:misc_RNA from 1 species
GACUGCGGAGGAUCAUUAUNGUAACAACGGAGGCGUGAGGGCUGUCGCUGACCUGAACCCUCAGGUCGUGCACGCCCGAGCGUUCUCUUACAUCCAUCUCACCCCAAUGUGCACCACCGCGUGGGGUCCCCCUUUGGCUUGUUCGGAGGGGGGCUUUACGUUUUCACACAAACUUNUAUGCAGUGUAGAAUGUACCUUUGUUUUGCGAUCACGCAAUUAAUACAACUUUCAACAACGGAUCUCUUGGCUCUCGCAUCGAUGAAGAACGCAGCGAAAUGCGAUACGUAAUGUGAAUUGCAGAAUUCAGUGAAUCAUCGAAUCUUUGAACGCACCUUGCGCCCCUUGGCAUUCCGAGGGGCACACCCGUUUGAGUGUCGUGAAAUUCUCAAAACCCU